rnacentral:rRNA from 1 species
AACGAACGCUGGCGGCAGGCCUAACACAUGCAAGUCGAGCGCGCCCUUCGGGGUGAGCGGCGGACGGGUGAGUAACGCGUGGGAACGUGCCCUUUUCUACGGAAUAGCCUCGGGAAACUGAGAGUAAUACCGUAUACGCCCUUUGGGGGAAAGAUUUAUCGGAAAAGGAUCGGCCCGCGUUGGAUUAGGUAGUUGGUGGGGUAAUGGCCUACCAAGCCGACGAUCCAUAGCUGGUUUGAGAGGGUGAUCAGCCACACUGGGACUGAGACACGGCCCAGACUCCUGCGGGAGGGCGCAGUGGGGAAUCUUAGAAAAUGGGGGCAACCCUGAUCUAGCCAUGCCGGGGGAGUGAUGAAGGCCUUAGGUUUGUAAAGCUCUUUCAGCUGGGAAGAUAAUGACGGUACCAGCAGAAGAAGCCCCGGCUAACCCCGU